AAGMUGGUCGACCUCAUCCCCUCUUGGGCGGCGGGGCCUUCCGCCUCACAMAYUGGGGGACCCCCCCCAAUUUUUGGUCAUGAGGRUUCCCCCAUAAWAUYUUGYGYUAUCGACCCUAUUUUUUCCCWAAAAAAUCUCCCCCAGCAMARSGUGSGAUUGGCCCGAUUUUUUUCCGUGAAAAUGACUCCCCUAGCAGCUUGKGAGAUGGCCCAGAUCGUUUACCGUGAAAAAAUUAGAGUGUUCAAAGCAGGCAGAUCCAAUUUUCUGCCACCGAAUACAUUAGCAUGGGAUAAUGGAAUAGGACCCUGUCCUCCUAUUUUCAGUUGGUUUUGGCAGCGCGAGGACUAGGGUAAUGAUUAAUAGGGAUAGUUGGGGGCAUUAAUAUUUAAUUGUCAGAGGUGAAAUUCUUGGAUUUAUGAAAGAUUAACUUCUGSGAAAGCAUCUGCCAAGGAUGUUUUCAUUAAUCAAGAACGAAAGUUAGGGGAUYGAAGACGAUCAGAUACCGUCGUAGUCUUAACCAUAAAMGAUSCCGACCAGCGAUUAGGAGACGUUGAAUACAAAACUCCACCAUCGGCCCCGGUCAUUCCUYGGCGUCUCGGUUCCCCCGCACCGCGUGAGAUASUMCASAUYGUAUCCCGAGC
rnacentral:rRNA from 1 species